rnacentral:rRNA from 1 species
UACGGAGGGUGCAAGCGUUAAUCGGAAUUACUGGGCGUAAAGCGCGCGUAGGCGGUUUUUUAAGUCGGAUGUGAAAGCCCCGGGCUCAACCUGGGAACUGCAUCCGAUACUGGAAGACUAGAAUGCGGGAGAGGGAGGUAGAAUUCCAUGUGUAGCAGUGAAAUGCGUAGAUAUAUGGAGGAAUACCAGUGGCGAAGGCGGCCUCCUGCUCGACAUUGACGCUGAGGUGCGAAAGCGUGGGGAGCAAACGGG